rnacentral:rRNA from 1 species
UACGUAGGGUGCGAGCGUUAAUCGGAAUUACUGGGCGUAAAGGGUGCGCAGGCGGCUUCGCAAGUCAGACGUGAAAUCCCCGAGCUUAACUUGGGAAUUGCGUUUGAAACUACGAGGCUAGAGUGUGGCAGAGGGAGGUGGAAUUCCACGUGUAGCGGUGAAAUGCGUAGAUAUGUGGAGGAACACCGAUGGCGAAGGCAGCCUCCUGGGCUAACACUGACGCUCAUGCACGAAAGCGUGGGGAGCAAACAGG